rnacentral:ncRNA from 1 species
CGCCCGGCGGGAGGCAACGACGCGCGGCCCGAACCCCGGCCGCCGGGACCGCACCGAGCCACUGGCGAGACCGACCCGCAUCGAU